rnacentral:rRNA from 1 species
UCCGUNGGUGAACCUGCGGAAGGAUCAUUAA